rnacentral:rRNA from 1 species
AUACGUAGGGGGCAAGCGUUGUCCGGAAUCACUGGGCAUAAAGGGUGCGUAGGCGGCCUAGCAAGUCCUGUGUGAAAUACCUCGGCUUAACCGGGGAGGGUCAUGGGAAACUGUUAGGCUCGAGUGCCGGAGAGGGCAGUGGAAUUCCAGGUGUAGCGGUGAAAUGCGUAGAUAUCUGGAGGAACAUCAGUGGCGAAGGCGACUGCCUGGACGGUAACUGACGCUGAGGCACGACAGCUGGGGGAGCAAACAGGAUUAGAUACCCUGGUAGUCCCAGCCGUAAACGAUGAGUGCUAGGUGUUGGGGGUAUCGACCCCUCCAGUGCCGUAGUAAACACAUUAAGCACUCCGCCUGGGGAGUACGGCCGCAAGGCUGAA